ensembl:lncRNA
CCAUAAACGUUUGCUGAAUGCAUGAAGGAGUGAAGGAAAGAAUGAGCUGAAGAACAUCUGAAACACUGGCCAAUUGUCUUUAAAUCAGUUGUUCACUUUGCCAUCAUGAAUUCAUCUACGAGUCCAUGAAACCCAGAGCUGCUACCAGGACAGUUCUAGAACAGCCAGCAUCCUCAGCUUGCUCUUCAGUUACUGCCUGUCUUGUCAUCACUGUCAGCAUCCAUUUGUCAAGCACUGAACAGUGUGAGCUGUUUUCCUUAGAGCUGGAGCACUGCUUGGCAGCCACUGGGCAAGCUGGUGGAGGAAGAGGAGAUACAAGGAUGAAUGAGAUGGAGACGCAGCCCACUGUCCAACCUACCCGGCAGCUUGUGUCCCAACAGGGGAAGAGACCUGCCCACAGACAGUGAGAAAUGGGAUGAGGUUCAGAAAGAUGAAAUGAUUUGCCAAAAUCAGACAGCAAUAAGUGAUGGAAUCAGGAUAUGAACUGGUGUGACAUCACGGGCUCUGCUCUGUGUACCUCCGAUCCUGUUUGGCUGAGUCGGUGCCAUAGGGCAUCAACUUUCAUUAAGACAAGUCCUCCAAUUGGAAACAUUAAAGGAAAAACUAAUACAAGGCUGAAAAAUGUUGACAAGCUAUUGCUGGACCUUUACCACUGGGCCUUCCUAGGGUUGCUGUGCUUCAGCUGGGCAGGCUCCAUCACUCAUGGGGCCUCCCUGGCUCCCCUGAGCAUCAGAGGCCUUGACCACUGGCAAGAGUCAUGUCCUCAGCCCAGAGCUGAGACCUGCAAGGUUUCUGAGGAAGAAAGAACAAAGUGCCUGGAAACUUGAGUUGCACUCUGUCACAGUGAAAAGGCCAGAAUUGGCAUUUUAAAAAUUCAUUGUCUUCUAAUAAUA